rnacentral:rRNA from 1 species
GUAGUAGCAAAUACUCUAGCGAGACCCUGGAGGGCUGAUGUGGAGAAGGGUUUCGUGUGAACAGCCGUUGCACACGAGUCAGUCGAUCCUAAGCCCUAGGGGAAACCCGAUGCAUGCCGGCCGUUGGCCGCGUCGGGCGAAAGGGAAUCCGGUCCCCAUUCCGGAACCCGGUCGCGGAACCGUUUCACGUCGGGCCCGCGCCGAGAGGCGCAAGCUCGUCGGGGUAACCCAACAUGACCCGGAGAAGCCGUCGGGAGGUCUGGGAAGAGUUUUCUUUUCUGUUUGAGCGUUCGGGUUCCCUGGAAUUGCCUAGCGCAGAGAGAGGGAAUGGAACGCGUAGAGCACCGCAGUUGCGGCGGUGUCCAGACAUGCCCUUCGGACCUUGAAAAUCCGGGGACGGGCCACGUGGAGGUGUCGCGCCGGUUCGUACCCAUAUCCGCAGCAGGUCUCCAAGGUGAAGAGCCUCUAGUCGAUAGACGAAUGUAGGUAAGGGAAGUCGGCAACUUGGAUCCGUAACUUCGGAAUAAGGAU